rnacentral:rRNA from 1 species
AGCGGUGUGGAUUAGGCAUGCAAGUCGUGCGCGAAAGCCUUCGGGCGAGUAGAGCGGCGAAAGGGUGAGUAACACGUAACCAACCUACCCCAUAGAUUGGAAUAGCCUCCGGAAACGGUGGGUAAUGCCGAAUGGCCCCAGUAGAAGGCAUCUUCCGCUGGGUAAACGGUGGCUUCGGCUGCUGCUGUGGGAGGGGGUUGCGGGCUAUCAGCUUGUUGGUGAGGUAAUGGCUCACCAAGGCUAUGACGGCUAGCCGGUCUGAGAGGAUGGUCGGUCACACUGGGACUGAGACACUGCCCAGACUCCUACGGGAGGCUGCAGUCGAGAAUCUUCCGCAAUGGGCGAAAGCCUGACGGAGCGACACCGCGUGCAGGAUGAAGGCCUUAGGGUCGUAAACUGCUGUCACGCUAUAGGAAUGGCGCAGGAUUAACAGUUGUGCGUUUGACCAAAGCGAGAGGAAGCACCGGCUAACUCCGUGCCAGCAGCCGCGGUAAUACGGAGGGUGCAAACGUUGUUCGGAAUCACUGGGCAUAAAGGGCUCGUAGGCGGUCCAUUAAGUCAGGUGUGAAAUCCCCCGGCUCAACCGGGGAACUGCACUUGAUACUGGUGGACUAGAGUAUGGUUGGGGUGAGCGGAACUCCUGGUGGAGCGGUGAAAUGCGUAGAUAUCAGGAGGAACACCGGUGGCGAAAGCGGCUCACUGGACCAUUACUGACGCUGAGGAGCGAAAGCUAGGGGAGCGAACGGGAUUAGAUACCCCGGUAGUCCUAGCCGUAAACGAUGUGCACUAGGCAGGGGAGGCACCUAUGGCCCUCUCUGCCGUAGCUAAUGUGUUAAGUGCACCGCCUGGGGAGUACGCUCGCAAGAGUAAAACUCAAAGGAAUUGACGGGGGAUCACACAAGCGGUGGAGCAUGUGGUUUAAUUCGAAUCAACGCGAAGAACCUUACCUGGCCUUGACAUGUAUGGAUUAGUCCUGUGAAAGCAGGGUGACAGCCCUUCGGGGUCGGAACAUACACAGGUGUUGCAUGGCUGUCGUCAGCUCUCGUGAGAUGUUGGGUUAAGUCCCGUAACGAGCGAAACCCUUAUCGUUAGUUGCCAGCGCGUAAUGGCGGGGACUCUAGCGAGACUGCCGUUGUUAAGACGGAGGAAGGUGGGGACGACGUCAAGUCAUCAUGGCCCUUAUGGCCAGGGCUACACACGUGCUACAAUGGUUUGUACAAAGGGUUCCGAGACCGCAAGGUGGAGGCAAUCCCAUAAAGCAAACCCCAGUUCGGAUUGCAGGCUGAAAUUCGCCUGCAUGAAGUUGGAAUCGCUAGUAAUCGCGUAUCAGCCAUGACGCGGUGAAUAUGUUCCUGAUCCUUGUACACACCGCCCGUCAAGCCACGAAAGCGGGGAGCGCUCGAAGUCGCUUUGUCUAACCUUCGGGAGGACAGCGCCGAAAGCGAGUUCCGUGAUUGGGACUAAGUCGUAACAAGGUA